GUGAAUCAUCGAAUCUUUGAACGCAAAUUGCACUCCCUGGUAUUCCGGGGAGUAUGCCUGUUUGAGGGUCGUUAGAACAAAAAUCGACGCGGCGCCCUUUUUUUUAAGGGUGAUCGCGUCGGAAUUGAAACGUCUUUCAAAUUAUAAUUCAUAUAAAAGUGGCUUGAAAUUCAUCCAUCCUGUAAG
rnacentral:misc_RNA from 1 species